GGGCACAGACCCAGGACUGGAAUAGAAAAUGAUUGUAUUGAAUUUGGUUGAGAAGGCCAAACUGUUUAGCCACAAUGGCCGUACUAGUUUACGUUCCCACAAGCAACGGAUGAGUGGCCCCUGCUCCACAUUCUAGGCCGGAGUUGCUUUUACGUCAAGUUGGGCCCAGCACAGGACCUGCCAAGAUGCGAGCUCAGGAAACAGGUGCUGAAUAAGUGAACGGAUGGAUGAGCAAGAUUUGCAAAUACUUUUCCUGGAAAGGGAUUUCUAGAGGAUGGAGUGGUCCAUGCAGCAGAGAUGAAGAGGCAGUGAUGGAGUGUGG